UACGUAGGGUGCAAGCGUUAAUCGGAAUUACUGGGCGUAAAGCGUGCGCAGGCGGUUGUGCAAGACAGGUGUGAAAUCCCCGGGCUUAACCUGGGAACUGCACUUGUGACUGCAAGGCUGGAGUGUGGCAGAGGAGACUGGAAUUCCCGGUGUAGCAGUGAAAUGCGUAGAUAUCGGGAGGAAUACCGAUGGCGAAGGCAGGUCUCUGGGCUGACACUGACGCUCAUGCACGAAAGCGUGGGGAGCAAACAGG
rnacentral:rRNA from 1 species